rnacentral:tRNA from 1 species
GCCCCUGUAGCUCAACGGGAUAGAGCGUUCGCCUCCUAUGCGAAGGGUUGUCGGUUCGACUCCGGCCAAGGGCA